GCUCUGCUGAAAUUAUUGGUCAUUCUUAAG
rnacentral:piRNA from 1 species